AUCCCACCUGGAAUUUCCCUGCCAAAUUCACAAUCUAUGAGACCCCAGCUCAGCAGAACCGCUUAAACCUCGUCUUCAAGCUCCGGUGUGAUCGUGCCUUAGGAGAUAAAGAUAUAGGUGAAGUCAACGUCCCUGUCAAGGAGCUCUUGGAUUCCAUGGGAGAUGGGAAAUCCAUGCAGUUUGUUAUUUAUCAGGUCAGAAAGCCAUCGGGGAAACCUAAAGGUGAGUUGAGUUUUUCUUAUAAGUUUGGUGACAAAUUCGACUCAGGACCUGAGAAGGUCGGGGGCAAAGCUGACCAACCCGUCACUGCAUAUCCUGCUCCUCCUCCUCCGAUGGUUGGUCCUAGUUCAGCACCUUAUGGUGGACUUGGGCCUUAUCCAACUGCUCCUCCACCACCACAACAGGUGGCAGGUUAUGCUUAUCCACCUCCUCAUCCAGGGUACGGCUAUCCACCACCACCGCCUGGUUAUGGA
rnacentral:misc_RNA from 1 species